rnacentral:rRNA from 1 species
CCUACGGGUGGCUGCAGUGGGGAAUAUUGGACAAUGGGCGAAAGCCUGAUCCAGCCAUGCCGCGUGUGUGAAGAAGGCCUUCGGGUUGUAAAGCACUUUCAGUGGGGAAGAAAGCCUUGGGGCUAAUACCCUCGAGGAAGGACAUCACCCACAGAAGAAGCACCGGCUAACUCCGUGCCAGCAGCCGCGGUAAUACGGAGGGUGCGAGCGUUAAUCGGAAUUACUGGGCGUAAAGCGCGCGUAGGCGGUCUGAUAAGCCGGUUGUGAAAGCCCCGGGCUCAACCUGGGAACGGCAUCCGGAACUGUCAGGCUAGAGUGCAGGAGAGGAAGGUAGAAUUCCCGGUGUAGCGGUGAAAUGCGUAGAGAUCGGGAGGAAUACCAGUGGCGAAGGCGACCUUCUGGACUGACACUGACGCUGAGGUGCGAAAGCGUGGGUAGCAAACAGGAUUAGAUACCCCAGUAGUC